GAUGAACGCUGGCGGCGUGCCUAAUACAUGCAAGUCGAGCGAACGGACGAGAAGCUUGCUUCUCUGAUGUUAGCGGCGGACGGGUGAGUAACACGUGGAUAACCUACCCAUAAGACUGGGAUAACUUCGGGAAACCGGAGCUAAUACCGGAUAAUAUUUUGAACCGCAUGGUUCAAAAGUGAAAGACGGUCUUGCUGUCACUUAUAGAUGGAUCCGCGCUGCAUUAGCUAGUUGGUAAGGUAACGGCUUACCAAGGCAACGAUGCAUAGCCGACCUGAGAGGGUGAUCGGCCACACUGGAACUGAGACACGGUCCAGACUCCUACGGGAGGCAGCAGUAGGGAAUCUUCCGCAAUGGGCGAAAGCCUGACGGAGCAACGCCGCGUGAGUGAUGAAGGUCUUCGGAUCGUAAAACUCUGUUAUUCGGGAAGAACAUAUGUGUAAGUAACUGUGCACAUCUUGACGGUACCUAAUCAGAAAGCCACGGCUAACUACGUG
rnacentral:rRNA from 1 species